AAAUCAACGCUGGCGGCGCGCUUAACACAUGCAAGUCGCACGAGAAAGGGGAGCAAUCCCUGAGUACAGUGGCGUACGGGUGAGUAACACGUGGAUGAUCUACCUUCUAGUGGGGAAUACCUCUGGGAAACCGGAGACAAUACCGCAUAAGCUCGUAAGAGGAAAGCAGCAAUGCGCUGGAAGAGGAGUCCGCGGCUGAUUAGCUAGUUGGCGGGGUAAUGGCCCACCAAGGCGAAGAUCGGUAGCCGGCCUGAGAGGGCACACGGCCACACUGGCACUGAAACACGGGCCAGACUCCUACGGGAGGCAGCAGUGGGGAAUCGUGCACAAUGGAGGAAACUCUGAUGCAGCGACGCCGCGUGAGCGAUGAAGCCCUUCGGGGUGUAAAGCUCUUUCGACGGGAACGAUAAUGACGGUACCCGGAGAAGAAGCUGCGGCUAACUACGUGCCAGCAGCCGCGGUAAUACGUAGGCAGCGAGCGUUGUUCGGGAUUACUGGGCGUAAAGAGUGUGUAGGCGGUGUUCUAAGUCUGGUGUGAAAUCUCCCGGCUCAACUGGGAGGGUGCGCUAGAGACUGGAAUGCUCGAGUGUGGGAGAGGUAAGCGGAAUUCCUGGUGUAGCGGUGAAAUGCGUAGAUAUCAGGAGGAACACCUGUGGUGUAGACAGCUUACUGGACCAUGACUGACGCUGAGACACGAAAGCGUGGGUAGCAAACAGGAUUAGAUACCCUGGUAGUCCACGCCCUAAACGAUGCAUACUUGGUGUGAGCCAUUCAUUUGGUUCGUGCCGGAGCUAACGCGUUAAGUAUGCCGCCUGGGGAGUACGGUCGCAAGGCUG
rnacentral:rRNA from 1 species